rnacentral:rRNA from 1 species
UACGUAGGGGGCGAGCGUUAUCCGGAAUUACUGGGCGUAAAGCGCACGCAGGCGGUUCGCCAAGUUUGGAGUGACAGUUGUCGGCUCAACCGACAAAGGACUUCAAAAACUGGUGAACUUGAGGACGAGAGAGGAACAUGGAACUCCAGGUGUAGUAGUGAAAUGCGUAGAUAUCUGGAGGAACACCAAUGGCGAAGGCAGCUCGCUGGGACGGUACUGACACUGAGACGCGAAAGCGUGGGGAGCAAACAGG